GAUGAACGCUGGCGGCGUGCCUAAUACAUGCAAGUCGAGCGAACAGACGAGGAGCUUGCUCCUCUGACGUUAGCGGCGGACGGGUGAGUAACACGUGGAUAACCUACCUAUAAGACUGGGAUAACUUCGGGAAACCGGAGCUAAUACCGGAUAAUAUAUUGAACCGCAUGGUUCAAUAGUGAAAGACGGUUUUGCUGUCACUUAUAGAUGGAUCCGCGCCGCAUUAGCUAGUUGGUAAGGUAACGGCUUACCAAGGCAACGAUGCGUAGCCGACCUGAGAGGGUGAUCGGCCACACUGGAACUGAGACACGGUCCAGACGCCUACGGGAGGCAGCAGUAGGGAACCUUCCGCAAUGGGCGAAAGCCUGACGGAGCAACGCCGCGUGAGUGAUGAAGGUCUUCGGAUCGUAAAACUCCGUUAUUAGGGAAGAACAAAUGUGUAAGUAACUAUGCACGUCUUGACGGUACCUAAUCAGAAAGCCACGGCUAACUACGUG
rnacentral:rRNA from 1 species